GAUCCGACUUGGGUUUUGAAAAGAUAACUCUGGCUGCUCUGUUGAGACCAGACUGAGGGGGAUGAGGGAUGCAGAGGAACAAGUUAGGAGGUGUUGCAAUAUUCCAGGCAAGAGAAGAUGGUGGCUUGGCACAGUUGGGGAAUGGGGAGAGUAGCAGAUUCUGGACAUAUUUUGAAGGCAAAGUAAAUAAGAUUGGCUGAGGUAUUUGGAUGGAUGACAGAAAAAGAGAGUUGGAAAUAACUCCAAGAUUUUCUUCCCGAGCGACUGGAAAGAUGAAGUUGCCCUUUUCUGAGGUGGAGAAGACUAAAAGGAGCAGGUCUAGGGGAAAAGAUCAGAAUUACAAAGUUGGACAAGUUGAGUUUGAGAUGCCCGCUAGCCGUUCAGGUGGAAAGAGGAAACAGGAUUUACAGGUCUGCCGAUCAGGAGAGAGAUUACGGUAGAGCUAAGAGAACACAAACAAAAUCUCAAGUCUGCCGACUCCCAACAGAACUCUUUCCGCAGCCCGGAGAGGAUUCUCCCGUGAGUUGGAGAAGUUAAAUACCUGCGCUCAAAACCUAGAGCGCAAGAGAGGAAAUACGGCCGCGGCUACCUCGCCCACUCGUGGAGUCCCACCCCGAGGCCCUAGACCUUCGGGGCUCAGCUAGCCCCUUGGAUUCCAAGGGAAAUCAGGAAUCACGGCAGUCCACUCCAUCGAUUUAAGAACGAGGAAACCAGGGGAGGUGUAACUUGUCCAAGGUCCUACAGGUUAGAGCCCCUGGAAGAGGCCGCGCUGGACGGAGAGAAGUUAAAAAGAGAGGCAUGUGCUCUGGAGUCUGGGAGUUGGUCAGACUGGGUCUCCAUUCCUCCGAUGACCUGAGUAACCUGGGGAGAGUUACUCAGAUACUCCAUGCGCGCGCGCGCGCGCGCGCACACACACACACACACACACACACACACACGCACGCAUCGCUGUGCCUUGAAGACCAGUGCCUGGACUCUGCUGACUGCAUAAAAUCCUGUUUCCUUAACUUUCCCUUCCCGUUUCUCAUCUGAAUAACUUACAUCAUCAAGUCAUGGAGUCCUAAUUCUUUUCUCCUUUUUCUUUUGGUCAGGAGCAGACGCGCUCAGAGAGGGGAAGAGACUUGCCCAAGGUCACAUAGCAAGUUUGAGCCAGAGCCCAGGCCAGCACACAGAUUGCCUGAGUGCCCUGCCAUCAGGGCCCCUGUAGGGCUUGGAAGAGGAAGAGGCUGAUGCAGGUGCCCAGUGCGACCAGCACAGAGAGCCCCCGGGACCUGGCUCUAGGAUGCUGACUGUGGGCAGGUUAACUGGGGGAAGACCCGCUGCCUCUCCAGGCAUGUACACUUCCUGUCUCUCAGGAGCCUGACGCCUGGAGAGGAGGAGGGAGUCGCUGCCAGGGCUCUGGAAACCCUGAGUAAUGGACAGGGGGGCCUCUGCCAGCUCCACCCGGGGAUGGCAGCUGCCCCCAGCAGGGAGCACCAACCACACACGUGGGAGGAACAGAUUGCUUAGACAGAUGCAGAAAGGCAGCCCAGAUUCUGAAACCGGUGGGAGAAUUGGGGCUCAGAAAAAACUAAAUAAUAGUAUAUUAUUCAUAAUAUAAUAUUUUAUUAUGUAUAAUAUAUUAUUACUACAUUGUAUUGAGCCCUUAGGAUGUGCCAGGCACUACUUCACAAUGUCUCGUGUAAUCCCCACAGCAAGCCUAGGAGGUGGAUAUUAAUAUUAUACCCACUUUCCAGAUGAAGAUACUGAGGCUUCAGGAGGUUCAGUCCCUUGCCCAAGGUUGCCAGGAAGGAAAGCUCACAAAAGAGGGUUUUUUUGGGGACUGGAAGACCUCUAGGUUUCCUUCUUCUUUCCUAACCCCAAGUUUUCAUACCAGCCCAGGCUUCCUCCUGCCUCCUCCCGGAUCUGCAGGCCGCCUUCCCCUCCUCCUCCCUCCUCCUGUUCUCAGUCUUCCCCAUCGCCUCCCCUUCUUCAAACCCUCGGCCCCUAAGGCUCAGAGGCUGAAGACACAGGGAUAGACUCUCCCUGACGCUGCACUUGGACCGCUAGCUGAGGAAGGUUAAAGAAAGCAGGUUUUGCAGCUCUUUGCAUAACAACAACAAAAAUUCUUUUCCCAAGAAAAGUGGUGUGCGCUCAGCAGUGCCUCCUCCAUGCACCUCUGAACACCCACCGCCCAAGACCAGGAGUCCCGGUUGUGGUUCAAGAGAAGGAAGGCAUUUCUAGUGGUUCAAGCUUAUUCGACAGCAGAGUGGGCAGCCUCUUGGGGCUCUGGGCCUCCCGUCACUGCAGAUGUCUCAGCACAGGCGGGAGGUCCCCUGUCCGAUGGUGGUGCCAAAGAAAUUCCUGGAUUCCCUUUCUCUUACUUGCUGAGAAAUCAAUUCCAGCCCUGGGAUUCCAGCUACAUUACCGCAAAAACAUCGGUCCUACUUGUAAUCAAAUUGGAUUCAGAGUUAGUGUGUACGUUUCUCGUCCAUCUCUGAAUAGAAAUCUAUCAAGGUGGCUGAUGUCAAGGGGAGGAGAAAGGACCCCUAGCUCUGUCAGGCGGGAGGACAGCGGCCUGGGGUGGGAAGGGAUACAUUGUGGUGGUAAUCUUGGGGUGGGCAGGGGGUUGAGAAAGGAAGGAAGACAUGGAAAAUGGCAUCUGGUGGAUUGUGGGGGCGCCUGCAGCAGAGGACUCUAGCAUGGGGAAGCAUUAGAGAAAGCCUGUUCCCAGAGUUCCAGGGGCCAAGCAGGGUCCCCAGGGGUCUCUCCCCCGUGGGGUUCAUCCCAGCCUUCUAGAUUUCCUGUCUUCAGCCUUGCUUCCCGCUCAAGCAGGGCCUUGAGAGGGUUAUGUUCAGGCGAGGAGCCCUCUUCCUCCAGCCCUGCACAGCCUGGACAUGGGUCUUUGGGCCCAGAGGUGUGUGAAGGAUGCCUCCUCCUGCCUAUGUCUCUGCCUAACGCCGGGUCCCAGCACCCUCCUUCCCAGAGCCUGUCACAAGAAUUAAGAAGUGGAGCGACGGCCUCAUCCCUCAGGGAAGGAAAGAGCUCCCCAAGUGAACCAAGGGCUCUCUCUGUGAGGCCUUCCGUGGCACAGGAUCGGGGGGAGAUUGGGGUGCAGUGGUCGUCCGGGGAGCCCUCCCAGGCCAGGCUUGGUGAAGCUACCGUGGCUUCUCAGGGUGUAGACCCAUGACUAUGAUGUCACAUGGGAUUUGGAGGCAUGGCUGGCACCUUGAGCUCAUUUCUUUUGGGACCUUGAAGGACUGAGACAGGAGGGCCUCGUGCCCUCAUGUCCCCACCCUGAAACCUCCUUUCCCCCAUAUGCUGCUCAGGCAAACAUACCCCUCCCCCACUUCUCCUACCCAAGAUAUGAAUGAUCCUUUCCCCCUUAGUAUUACCAUCACCGCCCUCAAACCCCGGUCCAUAACCAGUUGCAAUAUGUCAACCUAAUUUGAACCUGAUUCAAAUAAGCCGAAAGGAAGAUAUAUUUGUGAUACAAUUGAAAAUUUGGACACUGACUGGAUAUUUGUUGAUUUAAAGACAAUUUUUUAAUAAUGCUCUUUUUUUAGAACAGUUUUAGAUUUAUAGCAAAAUUAAGAAAAUAGUGCAGAAAGUUCCCACAUACCAUCCCUCCCCACCCAGUUUCCCCUAUUAUUAAUAUCUUCCAUUUGUAUAGAUACAUUUGACACAAUUAAUGAACCAAUUUUGAUACAUUAUUGUUAACUAAAGGCCAUAGUUUACUGAAAUUUCCUUAGUUUUUACUUAGUACCCUUUUUCUGCGCCAGGAUCCCCUCCAGGAUCCCACAUUACAUUUAGUUAUCCUGUCUCUUCAGGCUCUUCUCGGCUGGGACAGUUUCUUAGACUUUCCUUAUUUUCGAUGACCUUGGCAGUUUCGAGAAGUACCGGUCAGAUAUUUUGUAGAACGUCCCUCUAUUGGAAUUUGAUGUUUUUCUCAUGGUUAGACUGGGGUUUGGGGUUUGGGAGAGGAAGAUCACAGAGGUAAAGAGCCAUUCUCAUCACAUCCUGUCAGGGGUGCAUAGUAUCGGCAUGAUGUGUGACUGUUGACAUUGACCUUGAUCACCGGCCUGAGGUGGUGGUGGUCAGGUUCUCCACUGUAGUUACUCUUUCCCUCACUUUCCAUCUUCUUUGGAAGGAAGUCACUAUGGCCAGCCCACACUGAAGGGGUGGAAGCUAUGCUGCCCGCUCCCCAUUGAGGGCGGAGUAUCUACAUAAGUUAUUUAGAAUUCUUCUGCACGAGAGGUUUCUCUCUUCUCCCUCAUUUAUUUAUUUAUUCAAUUAUUUAUACCAGCAUGAACUCUGGGAUAUUUAUUUUAUACUUUGGGUAAUAAUCCCAUACUACCAUAUUUAUUUUGUUGCUCAGUUGUUCUAACUUUGGCCAGUGGAGCUAUGUCAGUUGGCUCGUGUGUCCCUUUGACAUAACCCCACCAGUGUGGGAUUUUUGUUUUCCCUUUGUUUAGCACUUCCAUACUUUCUGGCCCUGUAAGACACUCCAAGUUCAUCUGGCAUAUUUCCUGCCCAGUCCUGGAGUCAGCCAUUUCUCCAAGGAGCCCUGGUUUGUUUUCCUGGAGAAUGGUUCUGGAAGCCUAGAUCUGGGUGCUGGGUAUGCUCCUUGCUAGUGGGGUUAAAGAUUUAAUUUUAACUUUUUACAUGAUAAUGGUAUUGAAGUUAUUUUUUAAAAGAGUCUUUAUCUUUUUUUAGAUACCUAUAGAAUAUUUAUGGCUGAAAUGAUAUGUCUGCGAUUUGCUUCAAAAUAAUAUGGGAAGAGAUGGGACAAGAUUGGCCAUGCAUUGCGCAUUGUUGAGGCUGGGUGAUGGAAUACACAGGGGCUCUUUAUAGUGUUCUGUCUACUUAGUAUAUGUUUGAAAUGUCUGGAGUAAAAAUUUUAAAAUAAUAAAUCAAAACUCAGUCCCAAUCACCUCCUCUAGAAGCCCUUCUUGGUGACACUCUCUGGCCUGGCGUCUGCCCCUUCCUCCUGCUGGGUGUUUCCAUCCUUUCCGCGCUGGAGCGCUGCUCUAUAGGUGUCCUGGCCUCAGCUCACUGCCUGCCUGAGGACGGGGUGUCUCCUUGGAGCGGUGCACCACUGCAGGAGUCUGCAGGGGCUCCGCACCAGAGAGGGAGAGCAGCCCCCCCUAGCCGUGCCCAGGUGCUGCGGUGUGGCAGGCCCCAUGCCAGGCACCUUCACAGGUACAGUCCCAGCAAGUGGGCAUCAUUCUUACUCUGAGUUUAUGGAUGAGGAAACUGAGGCUAAGAGAACCAUUGAGUGCCCCUGACUGGGCAGCUUCCGACCCUUCUGAGCCCACCCUAGGGAGAAGGGAUCCAGGGUGCUAAAUGUCUCCAUCUGCCCUUCCACACCCACUCUCCAACCUUCUCCCCCCGCCUGUGCGCCCAGAGCCUGACCCUCUGGACUGCAUCACUCAGCUCUCCGUCUUCUGGCUCCCCGUUGGGUUUGGCCAAUGCAGGCACCGUCAGAGGGCCAGAGGGUGGAAGAGAGAAGUGGGGGUGUUUGUUCCCUCAGUGUCCCGGCAGCCUUUCCUACAGCUCCAGCACUCACUGACUUAGGGAACCACCACCUCCCCUGCCCUUUCAGGCCCAGGUGCUAACAGCUUCACAGUCGCAUUCGCAUUGUCAGCAUCUGCAUUCACAUCCCUCAUUGAUUCCCUGUAUUAGAUGCUCCUCAGCCCUCCAGAGUGGAACCCUGUUGACACACCUGGUCCCACUGAAGAAGGCCGGACGCACCGCACUGGCCCCUGUGCACGGAGGAGACAAGAAGGGUCCAGAGCCCAGGCUUGGAGCAGGGGGAUCUUUGGUUUAGGGCUGAGGCCUUUUAAUUAAAUAAAUGUGCUGGGGAUUUUCUUCCCUUUUCUACGUUGCUGCCCCCAGGGAUCCUUCUGUCACUAAACCUCUGUAUAUUCCCCUUUCUCCCUCUCUCUGCCCCAUUUCCAAUCUCUGUCUGCUCAAGCAUCUGUCUCAGCCUUUGUCAUUUUGGCCUCUCAGUAUCAGCCCUUUUCUUAGUGUCUUUGUGGACUUCCCUGCCUCUGGUGGCCUCAUCUGUCUGUCUGUCUGUCUCUCCCUCCGUGCCCGGCUCCACCUCUUCGGCUCUGCUUCUAUCUGCUCCAUCUCUGUCUACCAGUGUCUUCUCCUUCUUAAUCUCUCUGUUCCCACCCUUCUGCCCCUAUUUUGUUCUGUCUGUUUCUGCCCCUCUUGCUGUCUCUCUUGUCCCUCAGGCCUGCCUCUGCCCAGGGGUCUCUUCCUGGCCUGAACAGAAGAGGCUGGAUCAGGCAGGAUCCCAACGGAUUCACCCCCAGUUGGUUCAAAUGACGAGACUUAAAGAAAGGGAUCUUCCAUUUAAGAGUUAAGAGGAGGAGCUGAGAAUGUUGAGGCAUGGAGACUACAGCAUGGAAGGCCAUUACCACCCCAGGUCUGGGGUCAGGGAGGAAAAAAGUGCCGGAUGAGUCCAGUGCAGGCUGCAGUCCUGGAGGAGGGGCUGCCCGGCAGGAGCUGAGUCCUGGAGAGAUGCAGCCACACCAGAGACCUGGGGCUGGGUCUCUCCUCCCUCUCCCAGAGCCCUGCUGGCUGCUCCCAUUGGCCGAAACCAGCAGGAGGCCAGAGGGCUCGGCCUCCCUGGCACAGAGCAGAGAAGGUGGGGAGUAGGCCUGGCUGGGGUGAGGCACAAACAGGAUAGCCAGCAUAUUGGGCGCCCUCCAGAGUCCUGGCUGAGCAAACCGUUGGGUCACCAACCUCCAGAGUAGGCUCCUCGGCCCCUGCGAAGCCCUCCAUAGACCCCGUGUCUGAGGAGCUGAGGUGGAGGCCUUGGCCCUGCUCUUUACUGGCAAGGCCAUACAUCCCUCAAAGUUCAAGCGAGGGGAUGCUGUGACCAUCUGUCCCCCUGCUCCCAGGCAAUCCCUGCUAGUGUAUCAGUUAGAGUUAGGAUUUUGCAAGUGUCAGAAAGUCCAAGAUAACAGUUGCUUGUAAAAGAUAAAAGUUAAUUUCUCUGACACCUACAGAAAUCCCAUAUAUAGGAAGCUCGGAGUCAGGUGGGUGGGUUCACAAGAUCAUUAGAAAUCCAGGCUCCUUCUGUUCUCUUCUUCUGUCUUCCUUAAUACAUAGCUUCCAUUUCAUGAUCCAAAAGGGCUGCUCAAGCUACAGCCAUCACACCCUCAUUUCAGUGAGCAGCAAAAAGGAUCCUCAAAGAAGGAUUCUCCUUCUAUUUCAGAAGAUUUCUGGAAGCCCCACACACUUUCAUGACAUAUCAUGAGCCAGGACCCUGUCUCAUGGCCACACCAAGCUGCAGAAGAGACUGGGAAAUAUAGUCCUUAUCUGAGUGGGAACAGGUGCAAUAAAGGAAUUGAUGAUUCUAUUACUAAGGGAGAGGAUGAGAAUAGAUAUUGGAGUCAAUUACCAGCAGCUUCUGCCAUAGUGGGAAUGGUUGGUGCUGCAGGAUUUGGAGAUGCUGCGGAAACCGGGAGAGGGUGCAUGUAGCAAAGUUGAAGGAAAAAGAAGAAACACAAUUCAACCUCUCACCCCUCAUUUGCUCUCUUCAGGGGACCUCCCCCCAGAGGUCUUCCCUCAGCUGCAGCCAAGUGAGCUUUCCUUCCUGCUGGCACUCAGUUCUCACCGACAUGCUCUGCCGAAGCCACCCACUGUGGCCAAGACCCUCAGUCAUUUUUCCGUCCUUACCUUCCUCCACUUCUCGGCAGCCUUUGACGUGAUGGCGGCACCUUCCCCUUGAAACCUCCUCCUCUCCCGAACCUCCCAUCACCCUCUCCUCGCCCCCUCCCCCCGCAGGCUCAGUCACUCCUUACUUGCUGUCGCUGGCCUCUCUUUAACUCUAAAUGGUGGGCUUCCUCCUUCCCAGGCUGGACCCCUUUUCUCUUCCAUGUACACACUUUUCCCAGGUGGUCUCGUCCCAGACCACGGAUUCAGAGAUUCUCUUGCUUAAGGCCUAAAAUUUUAUCUCCAGCCCGAACUUUCCCUCCUGAUUCAUUUCUCCAACUGUUCCGCUCCCAUCCUCACGGACAUCUCCGGUGUAAGAGAACCAGGACAGAGUUCUGGUGUUCCUCCCCACACCUCCUCCCUCAGGCUUUCCCACUCAGGAAGCGCUUCUCACAUCCUCCAAAACACUCAAGCCCACGGCUUAGGCGUCCUCUGGUCUCUCCCUUCUCCCCUCCUGUCCAGCCCAUCAGCCAGCCCUGCUUGGUCAAACCCAUCUUAUCUCACCACUUUCACUGCCACCAGCUGAGGCCAGUCCAUCUCCCCUCCAGCCUGACGCCUGCUCUGCCCCCACUGGUCCCCUGCUCCCACCGGUAUCUUCACCCAUCGCUUCUUCUCAGAGCAUCAGGGACACUCUUGGAGCAUUAAUCAGAAGGUGUCACUCUUCUCUUCCCAAUGACCCCCAACUGCACUUACAAGAAAAUCGCAGUACCUCACAGUGGCCAACAUUGUCCUACAUACACAUCGUGGCCUUUCGUUGGCCUCUUCCACUGAUCUCUCCCACUCUCCCCUCAUUCCCUGUGCUCUUGCCUCACCACUGUUCUCUUUUUCUUUUUCUUUUUUGUCCGUUCUGCAAACAGGCUAAGAUCUUUCCUGCCCUGUUACCUCUGCGCCAUCCGUCCCUUCUGCCUGGUCUGCUCCUCCCCAGUUCCUCCUUGUCCUGCAGGUUCGACCUCCUCGCCAUGCUCUUGGGUAACUGUCCAUUUGAGCCUCUUGUUGAUUUUCUUGCAGUUCUUUUGCCAUUGCUUUAUGUGUCCAUUGACUUUCUUUUUGUCUGUGUUUCUCCACCAAGUGGAAGCACCAGGAGGGCAGGAAAUGUGGCUAUCAACACAAUUGGUCCAGCAUAGUCCUUGGCACAUCCAAAGUGUUCAAAAAUUCUGUUUUGGAUCCAUAAAUGAAUCCGUCUCUGUCCUCCAUCGUGCCUAACUCCUGGCCAAGGCAACCACUGGAACUCAGCAAAGAUACUGCUGACCAUUUAGUUCCCACCUUGAUCCAUUCCCAAACAUUUCCAGAGUUUUUCCGAGGCCUCAGCACCAGGGAUUUCUUUGAGCCUGCUCUAGGCUGCCUGCCAUCUGGCCAGCUCUGCCUUCUCUCUCCCUCCUGCUCUCCCCAGGGCACACCCUCACCCACCACACACACAGGUGCUCACUCACCAACAAGCCUGGAAUAAAGCAUCAUUUAUAAAGCACCUACUAGGUGCCAGGCAUGGAUAGUUCUCACAACCAACUCCAGUGGAUAGAUUAGAAAAAGAUGGAUUCUUUUCCAAAUAAAAAGACACGGCCCAAAGAGGUUAAAUAAUUUGCCCAUGACCACACUAGUGGAUGGUAAAACUGGAUUCAAAUCCAGGGCGAUCUGGUUUACUUCCACUGCACGAAGCUGGCAGGUGGGGCUGUGAGAAGGUUCUGAAGCCCUCCCUCCCAGUAGCACACUCAGGCCCGC